rnacentral:rRNA from 1 species
AUUGAACGCUGGCGGCAGGCCUAACACAUGCAAGUCGAACGGUAACAGGAAGCAGCUUGCUGCUUCGCUGACGAGUGGCGGACGGGUGAGUAAUGUCUGGGAAACUGCCUGAUGGAGGGGGAUAACUACUGGAAACGGUAGCUAAUACCGCAUAACGUCGCAAGACCAAAGAGGGGGACCUUAGGGCCUCUUUCCAUCGGAUGUGCCCAGAUGGGAUUAGCUAGUAGGUGGGGUAACGGCUCACCUAGGCGACGACCCCUAGCUGGUCUGAGAGGAUGACCAGCCACACUGGAACUGAGACACGGUCCAGACUCCUACGGGAGGCAGCAGUGGGGAAUAUUGCGCAAUGGGCGCAAGCCUGAUGCAGCCAUGCCGCGUGUAUGAAGAAGGCCUUCGGGUUGUAAAGUACUUUCAGCGGGGAGGAAGGGAGUAAAGUUAAUACCUUUGCUCAUUGACGUUACCCGCAGAAGAAGCACCGGCUAACUCCGUG